rnacentral:rRNA from 1 species
AUUGAACGCUGGCGGCAUGCCUUACACAUGCAAGUCGAACGGCAGCACGGGAGCAAUCCUGGUGGCGAGUGGCGAACGGGUGAGUAAUAUAUCGGAACGUGCCCAGUCGUGGGGAUAACGUAGCGAAAGCUACGCUAAUACCGCAUACGAUCUAUGGAUGAAAGCGGGGGAUCGCAAGACCUCGCGCGAUUGGAGCGGCCGAUAUCAGAUUAGGUAGUUGGUGAGGUAAAGGCUCACCAAGCCGACGAUCUGUAGCUGGUCUGAGAGGACGACCAGCCACACUGGGACUGAGACACGGCCCCAGACUCCUACGGGAGGCAGCAGUGGGGAAUAUUGGACAAUGGGCGAAGACCUGAUCCAGCAAUGCCGCGUGAGUGAUGAAGG